CCCGGGCCUGUGAACAAACAGAAUCAGAGAGAGUUGGUGAGAAUGUGCUGUUAGCUGUAACCAGAGAAGGCGGCAGUCAGCCACUGCUGCCUGCCUGCAAAGUCUUCACAACCCCCUCUUUCGUGCUUGCCCUAGCAAAAUGGCAUCGUCUAAAGCUGGAUGACAAAGAACACCAACAGCUGGACUUGCAUUGUGCUAGACCAGACCUGGCCCAUAAAUUAAGCAAACUGAAAUUUAGCCUCACCCUCUUCAAGGAACCCAGAAGACAAUGCAACCUUCAGCUCAAGUCCAAGCUCACAGCUGAAGGAUGCCUAAGCACAGUGUUUUGGAGGCAGUGUUACAGCCCUCACCAGGGUGUUCAUGCAGCCUCAAUUUUGGAUGGUCUUAUAUGGAACCAGGACUUAGACUCAGUGAUCCUCGUUGGUCCCUUCCAACUCAGAAUAUUAUAUGAUUCUAUUCUGUGAUCCUACGAUUUAUGAUCCAGUCACUGUGGAGUUUGAAUUCCGAAGCUUCCAGCCCCGUGCAGGAGAUAUGCUGAGUAAUUCCUGGAGCAUUGCUCGUGCUGUGGAAAAACUCCCUUCUCAGAUGGAAGUAAUCUGGAAAUCUUUCCAAAAAAAGAUCAGGUGGAGCCCAGGCUGAUGGUGCUCAGAUACAGCAGAUGCACUGUAAAAGUGCAUAUCUUAGUUCAUAACAUCUUCCACUCAUCUGACCUCUAAAUAAAUGAAUACAGGAAAUAUUC